GUAGUUUUUAGCACUGUGACCUCUGCAAGAGCAGAGAGCACUGCAGCGGAGGGCCAGGGGGUACAACCGUUCUACCCACCGCUGUCAUGUCUCUUUAUUCCCUUCCAAAAGCAUGCGGGUCUCCUGUCACACAACCUGUGUAGCAGAAGCUCCACAGGUCUGUCCAGUGCCUUCUCAGCAGAAGAAAGGGGCUCUCUGUCUAGACCCACAGGAAGGCAUGGCAACAGAAGGCCACGUCUGGAAAGCAGGGGUGAAAAAAGGAUGGCAGAGAUCACUGACCAUAGUUUGUGACUUCAAACUUUCUGUAUAACACGGAUGAAGAAAAAGACUCAAAAUCCAACGUUGUCAUGAGCCAAGUGACUGACAUGAGGGAUGGAGUGUUUUCUGUCAGUUCUGUCUGGCCUUCCGAUUUUAUUCCUGUAAGGAGAAAGGAAAUGCCCCGCACCGUUAAAGUAAACACGCAUGCUGCCAUCGGAUCUCUUGACUGUGCAUUUGGUUUCACUCCCUUCUUGCCUGUCGUCUAUAGGGGGCAAACCUCCUUGUGCUGCUCAAGGUCACUGGAGGCCGGGAUUUCAGAAGUGCUGGGGAACCACGGCCCCUUUCCUACCUUCCACCUGCCACAAUAAACCUAUCCCCCUAUUUCUAUUUGGGGUUAAUGUAAAGAGCUUUUUACAUAAGCCACAGUCUUUUCAUCCUACAGUUAAAUCUGUGCCUUAAAACGCAAAUGUUCCCGAGGGGCCCAUUCAUUCUAUUGGAAGGUAACAGGACAGAUGUCAGGUUUAUAGCUGAAAACAGGAGAAGCUUACAAAGCAGGGUGGUAUUGAGAGUGUGAGCGAAGAGGGAAAGAAUAGUGACAGAGAAAGAAGGAUGACCUUGACCUUCAAGGUCAUCAUGACCAACAACAGUUCAUCGUGCAGUAGCAUGAAUGCAUGGCUUCUGAAACCAGAGGCACUUUGUAAGAUAGUUUCCUCUGAGGCAAACUUCUGAAGUCAAUUCAAAUUCAAACCAAGAGUACAAAAUUAAAAAAAUCAAGGAGGAAUGCGUUUUUGCAAUCUCUUAAAAAAUAAACACCCCGCUGCUUAAAAGUCACAUAAAAAAUUCAAGUGAUUCUGGAAGUGAUUCUUUACCUAUAAAGUGACAGCGGAAGCAAAGGCCUGCUGUCCCCUUGUGACCCCAGUGGUUACAGUCAGCCCGUGACUCUUGUAGUUAACAAAGGCUGCACAAAGAUGUUCCUAGUUCCUUCGUCGGGGGGUAGAAAUCUAUCUAGACUCUACCCAGCCACCCGGAAACCCUACAAACACCUGAUAGUUGGGCACUGACCUAUGAUGUGGGAAUUAUGCCACUGCUGCUUAAUUAAUGCUUACAAAAGAAAUCCUACCUAUAAGUUUUGAGUUCUGCUAGGCCAAGUGUACAUUUUUAAAUUUAAAUUUUCCUUGCCAUUUGCUAGUAAUGAUGUAAGUAAUGUAUUCAUGGGCACAUAGCAGCCAGGAAAGCAAAGUACUUCUGAGUAUUUGUGACUUAACAACAAAGGAUCCCUGAAUGCUGCAUAAUGUCAACAUGGAUUAUGAUGACUGUAAUUAAGACCCAUUGCCUGAUUGCAAUUAAGACACUUAUCAAAAGGUGCAAAGCUGUGUCUAGAAUCGAAGAAGCAGAGAGGCUCAGAGCCGGGGUUCUGGCAGCAGACUGCCCGCAAUUUCCCCUGCUGGGCCCGUCUUCUCACCUGUGAAAUGGACAGAAGGGUGGUGUCUACCUGCUGAGUUUUCCGUGGUGAUUAAAUCAAUUAACAUAUGUCCGUUUCUUCCAGCAGUUCCUGGUACAGAAUCAACACUCAGUAAAUGGUAACUAUUUUCACUGCUGAAGCCCAGUAUGAUUCAGACGGAUUCCUGAGUAUUUUUAGGAGGAUCACAAUAGCAGUGAUUCUGACAUUUCGCUGUCGGCCUGGGUGCUGAUGCUCACAUCAGUUAUUCCACUAACCAGGAAGAGGGUAACGGUAGUGGAAGUGUCAUCACCAGCGGUGAGUUUGAUGAAAGAUGUUCAACAGCUGGCAUCCGGAGUUCUGCUUCCUCAUAACUGAGACAUCCCUCGAAUCAUUGCGGGUCACAGCUUCUCAGCUGUCGGCGCCCAGCAGUAGGUACUCCGUGCCAACCCCAGCGGGCAGCGGGCGUGACAAGUGUGAGUGGGCGGGAGUGUUGGGUGACUUGCACCGGACGCUC